CUCUAAUAGCGUAUAUUAAAGUUGUUGCAGUUAAAAAGCUCGUAGUCGGAUCUUGGGAUCGGACGUGCUGUCGGCCAAUGGUCGGACGGUUUGUUUGAUUCUUUUUUUUCUAGGAGGGCGUCACCAUUAAUUUGGGGGCGAUUCCGCUUAGAUCGUUUACUUUGAAAAAAUUAGAGUGUUCAAGCAGGCCAUCGCUUGAA
rnacentral:rRNA from 1 species